GUAGAGCGUAGUUGUUAGUGCUUAUUUUGCCCUGAAAAACCAAAAGUUUAAUUUCAAUUUUGUAUACGUUUGCCUUUAGCUGCGAGAUUAUAUACUAGGAUAUUAAUAGCUAGGGUAUUCUAGAAGAAGUUUUUCAUUUUCAUGAAAUGUUUCAAGUUUUCGAAAAAAUAAUAAUGUUUAUUAAAUCUAAUUACAUAGGUGUAAAGCAUUUUUAAUUUAUGGAAACAAAAGAUAAGGAAACAGGCUAAAAUAUGAACUGAAGAGUUCACAGAAAAACAGUUUGCAAAAAAGUUUUGAUUACUUUCAACCUUUUAAUCAUUAGAUUGUACGGUAAAAACAUUUUUUCUGAACUUUUUUCUUCAAUAAGCUUAAGAUUUUUUUCAAUGAUUUUAACAAAUGAUGAUUUUCUAAUAAUAUCAACAGUUUGAUCAGAAAUUUAGAUAAAUCCGAUCCAUAUAUACUAUAACUAACUUAUUUGGGGAAAAAUACUUUAUAAUUAAAUACCUGAUGCAUUCAUCCCCUUCGGAAGAAAAUAAUGAUAAUGAUUGAAUACACCUCGUUUUUAAGAAUAGUUUGCCGUCAGUCUGAAAAUUGUUUUUGGGAUAGAUUUACGUCCAUUUUCUCGGACCUUCUUUCAACAGCUUCUAUUGCUUAACUUAACCUGGUUCAUGUUGAAUCUUUUGGUCAACUGUAAACUGUUGAAGGUUAUUUGUUUCUAAUACACUGGAGUCGCUUUUGACGCGGGUUGUUUUUAUGCGUUUUUUUAAACGGGAUAAUUUACAAUAACGCCGAUUAUUUUUACCCGAUUCGCAAAUUAUUUAAUUUACACUUAGUACUAUGAGGCCUCUCGUAGAGCGUAGUUGUUAGUGCUUAUUUUGCCCUGAAAAACCAAAAGUUUAAUUUCAAUUUUGUAUACGUUUGCCUUUAGCUGCGAGAUUAUAUACUAGGAUAUUAAUAGCUAGGGUAUUCUAGAAGAAGUUUUUCAUUUUCAUGAAAUGUUUCAAGUUUUCGAAAAAAUAAUAAUGUUUAUUAAAUCUAAUUACAUAGGUGUAAAGUAUUUUUAAUUUAUGGAAACAAAAGAAAAGGAAACAGGCUAAAAUAUGAACUGAAGAGUUCACAGAAAAACAGUUUGCAAAAAAGUUUUGAUUACUUUCAACCUUUUAAUCAUUAGAUUGUACGGUAAAAACAUUUUUUCUGAACUUUUUUCUUCAAUAAGCUUAAGAUUUUUUUCAAUGAUUUUAACAAAUGAUGAUUUUCUAAUAAUAUCAACAGUUUGAUCAGAAAUUUAGAUAAAUCCGAUCCAUAUAUAUUUAUAACUUACUUAUUUGGGGAAAAAUACUUUAUGAUUGAAUACCUGAUGCAUUCAUCCCCUUCGGAAGAAGAUAAUGAUAAUGAUUGAAUACACCUCGUUUUUAAGAAUAGUUUGCCGUCAGUUUGAAAAUUGUUUUUGGGAUAGAUUUACGUCCAUUUUCUCGGACCUUCUUUUAACAGCUUCUAUUGCUUAACUUAACCUGGUUCAUGUUGAAUCUUUUGGUCAACUGUAAACUGUUGAAGGUUAUUUGUUUCUAAUACACUGGAGUCGCUUUUGACGCGGGUUGUUUUUAUGCGUUUUUUUAAACGGGAUAAUUUACAAUAACGCCGAUUAUUUUUACCCGAUUCGCAAAUUAUUUAAUUUACACUUAGUACUAUGAGGCCUCUCGUAGAGCGUAGUUGUUAGUGCUUAUUUUGCCCUGAAAAACCAAAAGUACGCCGAUUAUUUUUACCCGAUUCGCAAGAUUAUUUGUACGCGGUAUCAAAUAAGUUUAGUAUAAAUACAGUCAUGGAGAAAAUAAUGAAUACACUAGCAGUGUUGGAUAAUUUUUCAUAUUCGCGUAGUGAUUUUAAUUGUUGUAUGAUGUUAUGUUACGUCAUUACGAUCUGCAGACACUCUUUUUAAAAGAAGAACGGAAAAAUAACUGGAGAAAUUCCUUUGUCGGUGAUUCCGAGAAUUUUUUGCCUAGUGGGGUUGGCUGUUUGCGGUAUUUGUCACUGCUAUACUGAUGGUGCGUGUAGGGAAUAUGCCAACUGUUUGAUGUAGGAGAACAACGGGCAAGACGGUCACCCUAAGGAAAUCAUUCAUUAUUCUGCUCAAAACACAACAUUUCAACCAACGAUAUUCAUAAUUUUCGACAUUGACUAGUGCUUUUCAUUAAAUAAUGCAAACUUUUCCUUUUUAGAGUGAUUUUAUAUUAGUUUCCACCAAAAUAAAAACAGUCUCGAAAAACCACUAUUUCACAACGUGCAUAUGAAACGGACCGGCUGUGCUGGUAAGACAGACCUAUGGAAGACUAUAGCAAAUUUCUUUUCUAUACGGGACGACGCGCUGCGCAAAAAAGCACGUGUUUGAAGCUUACCGUCGGCUGCGCCGAUGGAAUCAUUCACAUCAUUUACAUGUAAUAUAUUUACAGCUUUUAACAAUGUUUUUAAUGAUGAUUUUUGUUUCAAAUGAGAGUUAAUGACUUUAGGUCUCAUAUCGCAU